rnacentral:misc_RNA from 1 species
CUCUUUGCGAAAGCGGCUACUUGCAAACCGUGUACCCACGCGCACACCGCUCAUCACACUUUCUUGGAAAUUCCGCAUCACAGGUCAAGAUGAACGACUACGAUGAACUCUACGAAGACGACUUCGAGGAUGACGAGCUUGGCUCUGUCGCCGCCAAGUCGGCCUCGUGCCGCGCUGCGUCCAUGUCAACGCCGCAUCACUCUGUUCCUGCUACCCACGGAACGGCCUCAAAGGGCGGAGUGGUAAACUCCACAGCCGCGGGCCAUAGCGGUGCCGCAGCUAAGCCUGGGAUGGAGAGUGCUCCACGACGGCCCAUGUGUUCCUUGGGCUCCAGCUUCUCCAGCUACCAAUCAUCUUCGGCUGACCCGCUGCUGCGGUCAGCACACGAGCUCUGCUCCUCCUCGUCGCACUCCUCGUCCACGUCGUCGUCCCGACAUCACACGAACCCUAAGCACCCUACCAAGGACAGCGGCAGCACUCCAUCUGCUGCAGAAUCCGUCAAAGGCCAUCGAGGCUCGCCGGGCACCGAUGGCGCCAACGCUGUAGUGGUCGCGUCUGGUUUUGUUCGCACACCCACGUCGCCAAGCAACCUCAGCGCUGUCACCCGCGCCUCUGCGCGCCCCUCCGUUGCACAAAUGCCUGGGCAGCGCGAAAUCGCCUCUAGUGGCGCCCCAAAGGCGUACGCCAAGCUCGACAGUGAUGACGGGGCGCAGGUGGUCGCCAGCAUGGGUGGGAAGCAGCUGCUACCGACGUCUCCUUCCGAGGCGUCAGCGACCGAAACCGCGGCGUCCUCUUGCACCUCCUUUCACUCAACGUCACACGCUUCCUUGUCGCCGGGCCGCGCUGAAUCCUCGCGCCACGGUAUGCCGAGUGCCGGGAGCGGCAGCGUCUCGGAAACGGGCGCAAAACACCUCCAACGCGUCAAGUUCGCGGGGCACGCCUCGCGAAGCUCGUCGGACUCAUCCUGCAGUAGCGACGAUGAUGGCGGUAGCGGCUGUGGGCGGCGUCACGGCACCUCUCCGCCCCCCUUCGCCUCCGCCGCAGCGCCCCCGGCGGCCGCGGUGGAGCCUGGCAUUGAGGCACCGGUCACGCGUAAUGUCUCCGCCGAGCGUCGCCACUCCAGAAGCGGCUCGACCACAACCUAUAGUAGAAAAAAGUUGCUACACCAGUCGAACUACACCUCGGUGGGUGUGCUGGAAGAGGACGACGACCGCGGUCAUCGCCGCACCCCGGCCGAGAUCGACGCUGCAGCGGCCCCAGUCGAUGAUGAAGAGGAGGGAGAGGAGGGCCACGAGGACGCAAACGCCAGCGACACCAUGUCACUCGUGGCGACAGUGGCAGCACAGCGGCAACGCUUGGCCUCCUCGCCGUCGGGUGCCCGCUCGGACUUCUUCACGAGCCUCACCCCAUCCACCUCUGCGGGCUCGUCGCUUACGAGCCACCAAACCCCCUCCCUCCACACCACUACGGCAACGCCAUCAUCCUCAAUGGCACCGACGACACGCUCCUCAUCGAAUCGUGUGCCGCCGCAGAGCGGGCCUGACAGCUUUAGUGCUCACAGCAGCAGCAGCCCAAAAAACUCAGCCUCUGCUGUGGCACUGCAAACCUCAAGCAGCAACGCCUCCCCACCUAGAUCUGCUUUACCCGAAGCCGCACCAAAGACGCGAGCGGCAAGCGGUGCUGCACUGCGCGGCGCCAUUCAGCGGCGUCAGGUCGCCACCGUUUGCAAAGAUGCGAUGGAUGCACGGCUCUUGGAUGGUGUCGGCGACUCACAGCGAUCAUAUGACGACAGCAGUGGCAUCGGCACCGACGAGGGUCAUGUGAAGAAAAAGCCGCAGAGAGAUGCGAGGUCGAAACAGCUGUCGCCGCCGCUCCCGCCGUCGAGGACCUCCCAGCUUUCGACCACGACGUCCGAAGAUGCCUCCCUUUCUAAAGUGGGCACCGCAAAGACCAAAGGGCACACGAAAGCGUCGACCACGGCGGCCAAGGACGGCGACGCGCCUGAGUCGGGCGAGCGUGCGGCGCUGCUGGCGCGCGUGGCGCAGCUCCGCGAGGAAAUAGCCACGUGGGACAGUCGCAUUGCACGGCAGCGCGCCUUAAUGAGAGCAGAGGCGGGGCGGUCGGGCGGUGCGGCGGCUUCCUCGCCAAAGUGUCGCUCCGCCGACGGUACAGGCGUGGCACGAAGACGCGGGGGCUCGAACGGCGGCAAGCGGCGCUCUGAGUCGGUGGAGCAGGCGCUACACACGCAGGCCGACGCCAAGGGCGACGGUCGUCCCGCCAACGCACGACUCACGAAGCUGAGGCAGGAAAACGAGCAGCUCGAGGCCCAGUACGCGCGCCAAGGCGCCGGGGGGGCGGAGAUGAACGUGCAGGCGCUCGUGGUGCGGGCAGACAUCCAGCUGCAAAAAGUUCGGCUGCGGCUAAAGGAAGUCACGGCCGUGCGCCGCGCUCUCGAAAACCGCGACAAGCGUGCUGCGCACACCAUCAAAGAGGUGCACCGUCGCAUGCCGACGGCCGAUGAGCUGGAGGAGCGGCAGCACAACGAGGGUAUUUACUCACGCAAGGGUCUGCUGCGCACGGUGAAGGAGCUCAAGGAGAACCUCGAACGCACACGCGCGGCGACCAAGAUGAUGAAGGCCAUGUGCGCUGAGCUCGAAGCGCACGUGCGGCGCAAGCACCUGUCGUCCAUCACGCCGAAGGAGUACGAGGCACUCUGCGCCACUCGUGACGCCAAUGCGAAAGCGAUUGAGAAGCACAAAAAUGCCAUCUCCGUCUACACAAUCGCCUUCGCGCAUGAACUGCGCAACGGCUCGAAAGCCGCGUGUGGUGGCGAUGCUGGGGUUUGUGCUACGCAGUCAAGUCGCAGCUCCUGCACGACGUCGCCAUUCAAGCCCGCCAUCUCGCCAGCUCGGGCGGGGGCGAUAGUGAAAGAGCAGCAGCAAAUAAUUGCCGAGCACGAGGCGAACAAGGCUGACCGUCUGCUUCAACAGAAGAGGACACUGCUGGACCGCAAGCAGGAGCUGCAGGCAAGCAUCAACACGCUGUCGCAGCGUGUGGAGAAGUACAACGAGCAGAUCAAGGCGAAUCACGCGCAGGCAGGGCUCAGCUACUUCGAUGCCAAUUCUGCUACUGCUGCCAAUGCUGGCGCGCCCCUGUACGCCGUCGGUGGCAGUGGCCCAACCCGCUCGACGCCGGCGACGACGUCAGCGGUGUCUGCGCGAGAUGGCGGCGUCCUGGUUGCGGGAAGCGGUGCUGUGGCGGCGCGCAAGGAGUCGCUGCGAGAUGUACUGCGCUCUCCCGUGAAGCGUCGCAUUCAGGCAAUGGCCGCGGCGGCAGAGGCGAAGGGCGGAGGCGGCACGGCGCGCAAGAGAACCCGGGAAACUGCGAAUGGUCCCGCUGCACUUUCGAGCCUUGGCUUCGACGCUCUCCCAGCGCUGGUGCAGACGGGCAAGCGCGCCGCACGCGCCGAGCACCGGGCAUCUUUGCCUGCCCUGACAGCGGUGUUAGACUCACCAGUAAAGGGGGCGGCGGCCCAGAUGGGCAGCAGCAUCGAAGCUGGUGGCGAGAUGUCAACCUCACCACGCGAUGCCAUCGAAGAGGAAGCUGACGACCGCGACAGCAUCGAGGCCGUGCUGCGCAAGAUCGACGCGGACAACGAACGACUUGGUUAUGAUGUGUUUGGGUUGGAGGGCAGAGAGAGAGCCGCGCCGCCGGCGUUCCUGCAGAAUCUUCAUGACGCCGACGCGGUGAAAGCGGCGGGCAACGUCCCCGGUGAUGGUGGCACAUUUGAGGAGGAGUCGGUGCCUCACAAAGUCAAAGAAGGUUACAGCGGUGGCUACGCCGGUGGAGCCGGUCACCACGAUCAUGCCACCAGCGCGGCGGAACGCCGGCAUGGUGUUUAUGACAGGGCAGUGCAGGGCGAGCCACCAAUGGAGGAAGAGGAGGCAGAAGAGGAACUCAGUGCCGGCAAGAGUGACGAGUCUGGGAGGUCGACGCCUGAGUGGCUGCGGGACGGCUAGCGGGUGAACCGCAGCAUUGUUCUCCCCAUCCCUAACUUCCUCCCCACUGCCGUCACAGCGUCCCCUCUCUCGCUCGACUUCUCUCUCUAUCCUGCCAUCCAUCCUGACACCUCCAAGCCAGCGCGCUCCAUCAAUGCCUCCAGCUGCUCCCCACCCCCUCACCCACCCACCCAUGGUGCCUUUGUGUGCCUCCUGCAGCCCGUCGCGGCUGAUGCGAGCACCGCUUUCGGCGCAUAAUUUGUUGGUUGCUGUUUUUAUUUUCAGUAGGGGCGCGCUGCGUGCGCGUACGCGUAAAGUGCGGACGGGCGGUGGUCCAAGCUUACUGAGCGAGAGAGAGACACGCACACCGUGCUGGUGCGUGCCUGUAUAAUUAGAUGCUCUAUAUAGAGACAGCAGAAUGCAACGAGACGAAAUGUGAGAGAGGGAAGGCGAGAGGCGGAACGGCAAGAGCCGCAGACGGGGGGGGGAAGACGAGCAGGCAAGGUGGGAGCCUCACCUCAUCACUCGGUCUUCGCCUGUUUUCCUCACAUAUGUGCAUACGUCUGCGCGCACCGGCUUCUGUAUCGCCGGUGGGGCCUCGUUCUUCUGUUCUUUCUGAUCCUCUUGCUUGCCGUUUUUCCCAGCGCUUGAGCCGUCGUCCACACCCACAUACACAGACGCACGGGCAGUGCGUCUCUGUAUGUGGGUGUGUGUGCUCCACUUCUCUUCCAGUCGUCGUUGUUGGGUGUGCUCGGUGCAUGUAUGGCCGGUGUGUAGAUAAAGCGCCGCCUCUUCUCCUUCGGAUGGUCUGUCCUUGUGUUGCGUAUAUGUGCAUGUACAGAAAUAUGCACACGCACACAUCUCUAUGCAUGUAUAUAUGUAUAUGUGUGUAUAUAGAUGUAUAUGAACAUGUUUGCGGGCAAGGGGGCAUGGCGUAACAGCCUAUCCCUCGUAUACGUGUGUGUGUGUGUGUGUGCGUGUAUGGAUGUGUGUAUAUAUAUAAUAUAGAAUGCAUUUGUGCAUAUUUGUGUCUCUGGCCGUGUACGCUACCUGUAUCUUCUAGUCGUCGCCCUCUUUCUCUGUCGCUCGCUGCGGCUGUUUACGGCCCUCUUCUCCAUGACGCCUCUGAUGCUCGACUGCCCUUCUCUUUCUCUGCGCCGUGUGUGCAUCUGUACGCGCGCUCGCGGUUUACACGCCUCCCGGCAAAGGUCUAGAAGCCCCCUCUAUUGUUGUUGCUAUACACUGCCACCACUCUCUGUUCAUCAGUUUCUCGCGGUGCUCCGCCCAAGCCUUCGCUCUCCCUCUCUCGCCACCAUCACCGCCACCGCCACCGCCACCGCCACCCACACCCCUGGCGUCUCUUCAAGGUCAACAACGUCGGUGGUGGAUCGGAAAGGAUGUAAAGAUGCACGAGCGAUUUAAGACAUGCAAGAUCCGAUGACGCCUCCGUCAGGUUGCACUUUACAUGGAGUAUUGUGUG